rnacentral:tRNA from 1 species
AAGCUGUUGGCAGAGUGGCUUAUGCAGCGGAUUGCAAAUCCGUUUAGACAGGUUCAAUUCCUGUACAGCUUUCCA